rnacentral:rRNA from 1 species
CCUACGGGAGGCAGCAGUGAGGAAUAUUGGUCAAUGGGCGCGAGCCUGAACCAGCCAAGUAGCGUGAAGGAUGACUGCCCUACGGGUUGUAAACUUCUUUUAUAACGGACUAAAGUGAGGCACGUGUGCCUUUUUGUAUGUACUUUAUGAAUAAGGAUCGGCUAACUCCGUGCCAGCAGCCGCGGUAAUACGGAGGAUCCGAGCGUUAUCCGGAUUUAUUGGGUUUAAAGGGAGCGUAGAUGGUUUGUUAAGUCAGUUGUGAAAGUUUGCGGCUCAACCGUAAAAUUGCAAUUGAUACUGGCAGCCUUGAGUACAGUUGAGGUAGGCGGAAUGCGUGGUGUAGCGGUGAAAUGCUUAGAUAUCACGAAGAACUCCGAUUGCGAAGGCAGCUUACGAAACUGCCACUGACAUUGAUGCUCGAAAGUGUGGGUAUCAAACAGGAUUAGAUACCCCUGUAGUC